CAAACACCAUUUAUAUUAAGUUAUCGGAAAGAUAGACUCUCCGCUGGGGAGAGCCAUUCAGGAACCGAGUUGCUUACAUGGGAAAAGAGACUCUUCCGAGCCCGAGCUUUUUUCGCUAAACAGUCAGCUCGAGUAUUAAAACUACGAGGAAGAAAACGAAUACUAAAAGAAGGGAAAAAACAACGAAGAGACCGGAAAGAGGCCAAUUCUGCUGCAAAAGUUGGC
rnacentral:lncRNA from 1 species